GGUCAGUGAUGUGAAGUAAGUUCUGAUGCAAAAGGUCCCCUCCCAGAAGCUCCUGGUUCCCAGUAGCCCCUGCUUUCUCCCAUCAUGCUUUAGUUGUGUACUGAUGGGCUCAGGGGCUCCUGACAGAUAGGAUGACGUCUCAGUCCGUGUCUCCGAGAGACCAAGGAGUCACGGCAACGACACACAUCCGAUAUAGCCAAUCAGCAAGGAGCGCUCAGGGCCUGGGCAGGGGCCGCGCGUGAUCUGCAGUUUUCAAGCUGAGACC